GGUCAUGAGUGCCAGCAUCGAGCCCCGGCUUGCUGGCCGGCAACCCUCCGUCCGCGGCGGGGUGCCCCGGGUGAAGACCAGGCGGGUCGGCAUGCAGGCCGGCACGCAAGCGCGGGCC
rnacentral:ncRNA from 1 species